UGGUUAUACUCGCGCCGGGAGGAGGCCCC
rnacentral:sRNA from 1 species